AUGCAAGGGCAGCCCCAUCCCUGGGGGAGACUCAGGAAUGCAGCUCCAGGCAUUCCCUGCUCUGUGUCCAUCCCAGGUUGUUCCUGGGGUCCCCCAAAACCUUCUCUGCUCUGGCAGCGAGGUGACAACACCUGGCACACACCAAAACGCCGAAAUCGUGCCCCCAAACCCACGGCUGGGCAGAACUGGAGUCAAUCUGCAGAGGGGAUGGGGCUGUCACCCCCAGAGCCCACCCCAGCACUUCCUGGGCAGGGGCAAUAUCGGGAGGGGUUCCGGGUGUCCCAGGGAGGGGAGGCAGAUGCUGACGGUCACCCUGGGGCCAGCAGAGCCACCCUGGGGCCGGCGGAGCCGCCCUGGGGCCAGCAGAGCCGCCCUGGGGCAGGGAUGGAGGGACCGUCCCUGUCCCCGCCAAGGGAGGUGACCCGUGGCACCCCGCACCCCGUCCCGGCUGCGCCCGCAUUGCCGCAGCCUUUCUCCAGCGGUUUUCCAGCCCGGCGGCACCCGAGGAGCCGGGAAGGGCUCGGUGUCCUCGCUGGGCACCCCCGGGCCCGGCUGGGGGUCCGCAGGUGGUGCUGGGGUCAGUGCCAGCCUGGGGUCCCUCCCAGCCGCUCCAUCCACCCUCAGUGGAGGGAGGAGCCUCCCGGUGCCGGAUCCCCAGCGGUGACAUCCAGGCUGGCGGAGACGGAGCGCGGCGGCGACAGGGACAGCCACAGCGGGGACACGGGCGGGGACACGGGCAGGGGCACCCGGGCCGGACCGAGAGCCGCGGCAGGGAAGGGUCCUGAGGGACACGGCGCAGGACAGGGCUGGGGGUGCUGGGGCACCCCCGGAGCUCCGGCUGGUGGAGGAGGAGCUGGGCUGUCCCCAGACCCUCUGGGACAGAACCGGACCCCACUGGCUGCAGCCAUGGGGCGUCCCUGGCCCCGCUCGCUGCUGCUCCUGCUGCUCCUCCCCCCGCUUCAGGUGAGUGGCCCUGGGGACAACGUGGGGACAGGCGGGGGGCACUGGCGGUCCCCCCAUGCCAGCCACCUCCCACUGCUGCCAGCAGUGAAGGGUCCUCCUGCCCAGGGUGAGGGCUACACAUCCCAUCCCAUCCCAUCCCAUCCCAUCCCAUCCCAU
ensembl:lncRNA